rnacentral:rRNA from 1 species
UCAUCAUGCCCUUUAUGUUCUGGGCUACACACGUGCUACAAUGGUUGGUACAGAGGGAAGCUAUAUAGUGAUAUAAUGCAAAACUCGAAAGCCAAUCCCAGUUCGGAUUGUAAGGCUGCAACUCGCCUACAUGAAGUCGGAGUUGCUAGUAAUCGCGGAUCAGAAUGUCGCGGUGAAUGCGUUCCCGGGUCUUGUACACACCGCCCGUCACACCAUGGGAGUUGAUAAUACCCGAAGCCUGUGACCUAAUUGGGGAGCAGUCGAAGGUAGGAUUGAUGACUGGGGUGAAGUCGUAACAAGGCAGCCGUAUCGGAA